GAUGAACGCUAGCGAUAGGCUUAACACAUGCAAGUCGAGGGGCAGCGAGGGUAGCAAUACCUGUCGGCGACCGGCGCACGGGUGAGUAACGCGUAUGUAACCUGCCCGCAACAGGGGGAUAACCCGGCGAAAGUCGGACUAAUACCGCAUAAAACAGGGGUCCCGCAUGGGAAUAUUUGUUAAAGAUUUAUCGGUUGCGGAUGGGCACGCGUACCAUUAGGUAGUUGGUGAGGUAACGGCUCACCAAGGCUUCGAAGUUUAGGGGUUCUGCGGGUAGGGCACCCCACAACGGUACCGCGGCACGGACCACAAUGCGACGGGAGGGAAGGGUGAGGAAUAUGGGGGAAUGAGCGAGAGCCUGACCCAGCCAAGUCGCGUGAAGGAUGACUGCCCUAUGGGUUGUAAACUUCUUUUACAAGGGAAUAAAAUGAGAUACGUGUAUUUUAUUGAAUGUACCUUGGGAAUAAGCAUCGGCUAACUCCGUG
rnacentral:rRNA from 1 species